GGCAUCUGAGUUUACUGCUCAGCGCAAUGCGGAGAAUCCUGAUCAUCUGUGGGAGAAGCAGUGGUGAGCGGAGGGUUGUGGGUGGAGCCUGAGAUGCUGGUUCAGGCCCUCCCCCAGAAGGUCAAGGGUUCACUAGAAUUUUCUAGAGGCUACAUGACUUGUAUAUCACAACAGACUGAAAGCAAAAGGGGACAGGAGAAUCCAGCCGUCUUCAACAGGCAGACGUUAAAGAGAUUUGCAAACGUAAAACAAUGCCCUUCUUCUUUUUUUUUUGAAACAUUUUCCAAAAAAGACCUUUUAGGGGCUUCCCUGGCAGCUCAGUAGUUAAGAAUUCGCCUGCCAAUGCAGGGAACAUGGGUUUGGUCCCUGAUCUGGGAAGAUCCCACAUGCCGUAGAGCAACUAAGCCCACGAGCCACAACUACUGAGCCCGCGUGCUGCAACUACUGAAGCCCAUGCAUCUAGAGACCGUGCUUCACAACAAAGAGAAGCCCACGUAAUGAGAAGCCCGUGCACCGCAACGAAGAGUAGUCCCCCCC